UCGGGGACGAGGGUGACGAGGUGGUGCAGUGUUGUCGUCAGCUCGUGUCGUGAGAUGUUGGGUUAAGUCCCGCAACGAGCGCAACCCUCGACCUUAGUUGCCAGCAUUCAGUUGGGCACUCUAAGGUGACUGCCGGCUAAAAGUCGGAGGAAGGUGGGAUGAUGUCAAGUCAGCAUGGCCUUUAUAUCCUGGGCUACACACACGCUACAAUGGCCAACACAAUAGGUUGCUAAGCCGCGAGGUGGCGCCAAUCCAUAAAGUUGGUCUCAGUUCAGAUUGUAGGCUGCAACCCGCCUGCAUGAAGAUGGAGUUGCUAGUAACCGCAGGUCAGCUAUACUGCGGUGAAUACGUUCCCGGGACUU
rnacentral:rRNA from 1 species